CGCAAGCCUGACCCAGCAACGCCGCGUGAAGGAAGAAGGCUUUCGGGUUGUAAACUUCUUUUAAGAGGGAAGAGCAGAAGACGGUACCUCUUGAAUAAGCCACGGCUAACUACGUGCC
rnacentral:rRNA from 1 species